AUACGUAGGUGGCAAGCGUUGUCCGGAUUUAUUGGGCGUAAAGCGAGCGCAGGCGGUUUCUUAAGUCUGAUGUGAAAGCCCCCGGCUCAACCGGGGAGGGUCAUUGGAAACUGGGAAACUUGAGUGCAGAAGAGGAGAGUGGAAUUCCAUGUGUAGCGGUGAAAUGCGUAGAUAUAUGGAGGAACACCUGUGGCGAAGGCGGCUCUCUGGUCUGUAACUGACGCUGAGGCUCGAAAGCGUGGGGAGCAAACAGGAUUAGAUACCCUGGUAGUCCACGCCGUAAACGAUGAGUGCUAAGUGUUGGAGGGUUUCCGCCCUUCAGUGCUGCAGCUAACGCAUUAAGCACUCCGCCUGGGGAGUACGACCGCAAGGUUGAAACUCAAAUGAAUUGACGGGG
rnacentral:rRNA from 1 species